GCGGGCGUAGCUCAGUUGGUAGAGCGACAGCCUUCCAAGCUGUAGGUCGCGGGUUCGAGCCUCGUCGCCCGCUCAA
rnacentral:tRNA from 1 species